rnacentral:rRNA from 1 species
UACGACUACAUAUCAGGCAUAUCAAUAAGCGGAGGAAAAGAAACUAACAAGGAUUCCCUUAGUAACGGCGAGUGAAGCGGGAAGAGCUCAAAUUUGAAAUCUUCAAGGUUCUACCUUGACGAAUUGUAGUUUAAAGAAGUGUUUUCUGUUAGAUGAGUAGCAAAAGUUCCUUGGAAUGGGACAUCAUAGAGGGUGAGAAUCCCGUAUUUGGUUAUUCAUUCUAGCUUUGUGAUACACUUUCAAAGAGUCGGAUUGUUUGGGAAUGCAGUCCAAAAUGGAUGGUAAAUUUCAUCUAAAGCUAAAUAUUGGCGAGAGACCGAUAGCGAACAAGUACCGUGAGGGAAAGACUGAAAAGAACUUUGAAAAGAGAGUUAAACAGUACGUGAAAUUGUCAAAAGGGAAGCGUUUGACACCAGUGUUGUUUAGUUGAAAAUCAAUUCAAUAGUUUUUGAUUCUAAGUAGUAUUGACUUCAUCAGCUUGCUGCUUUCUUCUCAGAAAUUAUUGAAUGCACUUUUCAGUUAACAAGUCAACAUCAAUUUCUUUUGUUGUAAAAGGGUAAGAGGAAGGUGGCUUGCGCUUCGGCUCAAGUGUUUAUAGCCUUUUAUCUCUGCAAUCGGAGAGAUUGAGGUCUGCAGCGUAGAUCCUUCGGGGUUAGAUACAUUGGUGCUAAGCUAUAGCCUUGUAUAGACAACUUGUUGACUAUGCUCAGUCAUGUAGCUUACUCGCUGAUGCUAUUUUACCUACGCUUAGGAUGUUGAGUAGCGACAUACGCAC